CUAACGAGGAUUCCCCUAGUAACUGCGAGUGAAGCGGGAAAAGCUCACAUUUUGAAUCGGGCGCGCCUUCGGCCGUCCGAGUUGUAAUCUAGAGAAGCGUCUUCUGCGCUGGCCCGUGUACAAGUCUCCUGGAAGGGAGCGUCAUAGAGGGUGAGAAUCCCGUCUCUGACACGGACUACCAGGGCUCUGUGAGGCGCUCUCGACGAGUCGAGUUGUUUGGGAAUGCAGCUCAAAACGGGUGGUAAACUCCAUCUAAAGCUAAAUACGGGCGAGAGACCGAUAGCGAACAAGUACCGUGAGGGAAAGACGAAAAGAACUUUGAAAAGAGAGUUAAACAGUACGUGAAAUUGCUGAAAGGGAAACGCUUGACGUCAGUCGCGUCGGCCGGGGAUCAACCUCGCCUCUUCGGGGGCUCGGUGCACUUCCCGGUCGACGGGUCAGCAUCAGUCUCGCUCGUCGUACAAAGGCAGGGGGAACGUGGCACUCUCUUCGAGUGUGUUAUAGCCCUCGGUCGCAUGCGACGGGUCGGGACUGAGGAACUCGGCGCACCGCCAGAGAUGCUGGCAUAAUGACGCCAAGCGACCCGUCUUGAAACACGGACCAAGGAGUCUAACAUGCCUGCGAGUGUUCGGGCGUCAAACCCGCGCGCGCAACGAAAGUGAAUCGUCGAGAACUCCCUCGUCCAGAGUG
rnacentral:rRNA from 1 species